AUUGAACGCUGGCGGCGUGCCUAACACAUGCAAGUCGAGCGGUAACAGGUGUAGCAAUACAUGCUGACGAGCGGCGGACGGGUGAGUAACGCUUGGGGAUCUGCCUAUUAGUGGGGGACAACCCGGGGAAACUCGGGCUAAUACCGCAUACGCACUACGGUGGAAAGCCGGGGACCGCAAGGCCUGGCGCUAACAGAUGAGCCCAAGUCGGAUUAGCUAGUUGGUAGGUAACGGCCUACCAAGGCGACGAUCCGUAACUGGUCUGAGAGGACGACCAGUCACACCGGAACUGAGACACGGUCCGGACUCCUACGGGAGGCAGCAGUGGGGAAUAUUGGACAAUGGGCGAAAGCCUGAUCCAGCGACGCCGCGUGAGGGAUGACGGCCU
rnacentral:rRNA from 1 species